ensembl:lncRNA
AACUGCAAGUUUGUCAUUAAUUUAUUUUCACAGGUCUAGAUGAUCACAUCUGUCUUUGUCAUUUAAAUGAGGUGGACUUGCAAACUUUGCGCUCUUUGGGGUAAAUUGCUGUCCACUACAUAUACACAGAAUCUGCACAGUAUUUCAGAUCUAAAAAGGGAGUAUGUAAUGGACUUGCUGGCUUUAAUGUAAAAAGCCUGUUGUGUAACUUUAAUGAGGCAGUUGGACUAAAACAGUAUUGCUCAUCAAGGUAAACAUCUGAGGAAUAAGGAAAUUGUUACUUGUCCUUUUACUCAGUGUUCUUUUAAUCACACGUUUACUAAAGUUUUACAUCACAUAAGUCAUUUUCACAAUCAUUCUACUUUAAAAGAUUUCAAGACAGAGCUUAUUGUUCUCUGAACUUCCUUGUUUGCUGAACGGCAGGUUGAAGCAGAAUUUGCCCGUCUUACAUCUGUUGACCUGAAAGGGUUCCUUUUGCUGUGCUUGACCAUUAUGGAGAGGUUCGUGGAGCUGUACAAAAUCAAGAGCGGCAUAGAAAGGCUAACUAGGCUCAUAAGAUGCUUCGGAGAUGAUAGCCCUACACAAAGGAAGAGGACAGAGGACCUCAUUUUCUAAAGGAAGAUCCCUCCCACACUUUCAAGACUGUGAAG